GCACGCCCCCUUCACGUCAUCCCUCCUCGCCGCUGGAUUGGCUGGCGCCGCGGCCGUCGCUCUUUCCAGUAUGGCGGCGCCCAGCGGAGCGGGGAGCUGUGAGGACUUCGCCGAGUUCCAGGAGUUUCUCAGGGUGAUGAGGACGAUUGAUGACAGAAUUGUCCACGAAUUAAACACUACAAUUCCAACAGCUUCCUUUGUGGGGAAGAUUGAUGCCAGCCAGACGUGUAAAGAGCUGUACCAGUCUUUGAUGGAUGCUCAUACCAGUAGGGAGAGAAUCAUCAAAAACUGCAUUGCUCAGACUUCCAGUGUAGUGAAAACUCUCAGAGAAGAGAGGGAAAAAGCCCAGGAUGAUGCAGCAUUAUUAAAGCAACUCAGGAAAGAGCAGACAAAGUUGAAAUUGAUGCAGUCGGAACUGAAUGUUGAAGAAGUGGUAAACGACAGAAGCUGGAAGGUAUUUAAUGAGCGUUGCCGAAUUCACUACAAGCCUCCGAAGAGUCAAUGAUGUUGGGUAUUUUCCAUCAAGUUGGUCCAUAACUGUGAGAGCCAAACUGGAAAGAGACCUUGGGUACCGCAACUGCUCUAAGCAGAACUUUACUCCAUUUGAAGUGCUAGUCUCGCUCUCGAAGUAUCCUCAUUGUUUUUCUGCAGCUCUGAAAGCAGAAAACAUGUUUGUUCUUCACCUGACAAAUUCUUACAAUUGUUUAUCCUCAAAGUGGAAAUCAAAUACUGCUCAGAAGUGUGGGCUGAAUAUCAAUUUAAUUUGCACAGGAGAUGGUCCAGUAAUGAGGUGUUGAGAACAGUUAGUUUUGAUUGCAAAGUCGGUACUCUAAUUGUGACCUCUAACAUAGGUGUCUAAAACAUUUGUUCUAUCCAGGGCUUGGAUCUACAACUGCAGGAUAAAUGUUCCUUUUAAGUCAGCUGUAUGACAGAAACUUCUGCCAGUGUGUAUAGAGAGUUGGUGUCAAUACUCUCAAGAUUCAUGCUUGUAUUUCUGUAGAGACGAGAUUGUAAUGAGAAUUAAUCACUGUCCUCCUCUACCCAUCCAGAUGUUUGCUCAGCUGUUGUGGAAAAAAAUUCUUCACUUAAGCAGGUGCUGUGAAAAAUGGCCUGUGUAAUGGAUGUGAUACAUACCCAGAUUUGUUUCUCUCUUUUUUCAGUAGCCCAAUUUAGCAGUUGUUAUGAGAAAACAAUGAGAAAAGCCCCAACAACGAAAAAAACCCAACCCAAACGUAGCACUGUUUUUCAUCUGAAUAUAAGGCCAAACAAGUAGACCUAUACAAACCUAUGUAUGAAGAACUUCUAACACUGUAACUUCUAAGUCCCAAACCUCCCUUCUGCAGGUGUUUGCAGCAUGUAUGCAGAGGGUUGCACUGAGAAGUUGAAUUACUCUGUUUAGUUUGCUCUGAGCACAGAGGGAUAUCUCUUACAGUACGUGGCAAAUCGCAUGGGUCAGAGGCUGUUUAAGUCUUGCUGUUGAAUG